rnacentral:rRNA from 1 species
AGUGAACGCUGGCGGUAGGCCUAACACAUGCAAGUCGAACGGCAGCACAGUAAGAGCUUGCUCUUACGGGUGGCGAGUGGCGGACGGGUGAGGUAUACAUCGGAAUCUACUUUUUCGUGGGGGAUAACGUAGGGAAACUUACGCUAAUACCGCAUACGACCUACGGGUGAAAGCAGGGGAUCUUCGGACCUUGCGCGAUUGAAUGAGCCGAUGUCGGAUUAGCUAGUUGGCGGGGUAAAGGCCCACCAAGGCGACGAUCCGUAGCUGGUCUGAGAGGAUGAUCAGCCACACUGGAACUGAGACACGGUCCAGACUCCUACGGGAGGCAGCAGUGGGGAAUAUUGGACAAUGGGCGCAAGCCUGAUCCAGCCAUACCGCGUGGGUGAAGAAGGCCUUCGGGUUGUAAAGCCCUUUUGUUGGGAAAGAAAAGCAGCAGGUUAAUACCCCGCUGUUCUGACGGUGCCCAAAGAAUAAGCACCGGCUAACUUCGUG